UACGUAGGGGGCAAGCGUUGUCCGGAUUUAUUGGGCGUAAAGCGCUCGCAGGUGGUCCGAUACGUCGUGCGUGAAAGCCCCCCGGCUCAACUGGGGAGUGUCGUGCGAUACGGUCGGACUGGAGGCCAGUAGGGGGAUGCGGAAUUCCGGGUGUAGUGGUGGAAUGCGUAGAGAUCCGGAGGAACCCCAGAGGCGAAGGCGGCGCCCUGGCUCGCAACGUGACGCUCAGACACGACAGCAUGGGGAGCGAACGGG
rnacentral:rRNA from 1 species